UACGGGGGGGGCAAGCGUUGUUCGGAAUUACUGGGCGUAAAGGGCUCGUAGGCGGCCAACCAAGUCAGACGUGAAAUCCCUCGGCUUAACCGGGGAACUGCGUCUGAUACUGGAUGGCUUGAGAUUGGGAGAGGGAUGCGGAAUUCCAGGUGUAGCGGUGAAACGCGUAGAUAUCUGGAGGAACACCGGUGGCGAAGGCGACAUCCUGGACCAACACUGACGCUGAGGAGCGAAAGCGUGGGUAGCAAACAGG
rnacentral:rRNA from 1 species